rnacentral:lncRNA from 1 species
UGGCGACGACGAGGGAGGAGUGUGGCACGGCGUCGGUGGGACGGCGGCAGUUGGGGCGCGACCAUCACUCAUAUCCCAGCUAGUGACUACAACGGCACUCUCCUCAGCAAGGGGAGGGGGAGGAUGCAGUGCGAUGUGAGGGCAGAGGCCCUAGCAGUUGCUUGGCCCAUGGGAGGGGGAGGAUUAAUUAUGGAAGACGACGAUAGUGUCAUCAUCGACAAUGCAACCUCCCUCGAGGCGUCGUUUGAAGGGUCAUUUCUUUCUAAACCCUCUUCAGAUGGGCUAUCCUCUAGUUGCGGCAUGCUAGUCAACGCAAGAUGGCCACAAUAG